rnacentral:rRNA from 1 species
GGCGGACGGGUGAGUAAUGCGUAGGAACCUACCUUCAAGUGGGGGAUAGCCCGGAGAAAUCCGGAUUAAUACCGCAUGUUCUCUACGGAGAAAAGCGGGCCUCUGUUUCAAGCUCGCGCUUGGGGAUGAGCCUACGUCGGAUUAGCUAGUUGGUGGGGUAAAAGCCUACCAAGGCGACGAUCCGUAGCUGGUUUGAGAGGAUGAUCAGCCACACUGGGACUGAGACACGGCCCAG